CCAUAGACAACAAUUUAAACGGAGACUAGUCAAUAUAUUUAUGUGUUCUUCACCUACGUUCAGCUACGGAAAAGAAUAGCACAUGAAUUAAUGAAUCCCAAUACAAAUGGCCUCGUCUAAUGUGUUGAAGGUCUGAAUAGAACAAGAAGGCAGGGACAGAGCUCUAGUGGCACUCCGCAAACUGAAACGAAGGACGCGUCUGCCACCUCCUGGACACUCUGAGAAAUUCAAAGGAUUUUUCCACAGGAAGAGG